AAGUCGUAACAAGGCUUCCGUAGGUGAACCUGCGGAAGGAUCAUUACAAAUAAAGCUGGUAGGAAGUGGGGUCUUGAUCUGUAAGUGGUAGAGCGAACAGUCCGGCUGCCUCCCGAAAUGUCUUACAUGUCCCCCACAGCCUGAAGGCCGAAAUUACAAACCCCUUGCAGUAAUUCAUACCUAACUACGUUUGGCUUUUGGGGCUUUGGGGCUUGCCAAGUUCAAGGCCCCAGUAGGGCCCCAAGACCCGGAAACCCCUCAAUCCUUUGCCAUUUUCAUUGGCAUUUUAGGAUCGGAUCCGUUCGAUGGUAAGUCAUAUCUAAUUAAAUUAAAUUUAAAAUUUCA
rnacentral:misc_RNA from 1 species